UUGCAGAAGCUUGUCGGCAUCACUGCAGGGCUAUGCAUUUUGAUCAAGCACAAGGAGGAGAAGGGUGGGAAUUGUUAUGAGGCCAUUUUCAGCUUCUAAUUUGGGGAUUAAGGCCGCAUCACCGUUCAGGGGCCCUACCUCACCUACAAUGAGUAUUAUCUCACCAUUACCGGCGAUUCCGACAUUUUUGAAGGGGUUACCGGGCAUGUGAAGCUCCCACAGCUCGUCUAUCCAUUUAAUAUGAGAGUUUUGAGUGUGGAUGCGGAUUCGACUGCGUGAAUUCACUCAAAUCUGAAACUACCCCUUGAUGCCAGGCUCAAUCUCAAAUUCGCUCAAAUUUGAAACUACCCCCCCGCUGCCAAGCUCAAUCUCUAUUCGCUCAAAUCUGAAACAUACUCUGGCAACUAGUUAAACGCCGGGGUGACGCCGAGGUUCCGCCAAUACACGCCGAUGUACGACCCGCAGUAGUGUAGCAUUAGCCUCAGCGACUCCCCUGCCUUGGGAUAAUACAAGCAGUAGGAGUUGCCACCGCGUAGGGUGGAGGGGCACUCCGGCAAGUGGCAACACAGGACGCCGGCUUCUGCUCCAUGAUCACCUUCUUGCUGCUGAAGUGGGUGCUCGUCAAAAUCCUCGUCGCCCUCAUCAUAAUCCAUCUUUGAAAUAGAUUCUUUACUAUUUAGCUUUUAUCUUCCUGUUUAACUAUCUGUAAAUAAUAUCAAGCUUAUACGCCAGUAAUCUCUUUCUUUAUUUGCUUAUUUCUAAAAUUUCUGCUUGUGGUUAAAGAUUGGGGGUUGUGAAUUGGGUUAGGAUUGUGUGAUAAUGGAUGCCUUCUGAUGGGUUUUGCAUAAAGCUUGAAUCUUUGUUGUGGGGGGAGCUUUUCGUCUUACAAGAAUACCUUGUGUGUGCCUGUGGGGGUUUAAUCCUAGAAUUGGCCUAAAUUUUGAAUAAUCUGUUGAGCAAUAGAAAAAUUAGCCAAGUUGGUUGAUUUUUGCUUGUUGUCUUUUAGUUGAAGCAAGGGAUUCAAACAAUGGAUCAGAGUGUUUUCUAGCAUAAAUUAGGUCUAUAAAGCUCAAAGAUUUGGGUGUUGUGAGCAAUAUUCUGUGAAGAUGGUGGAAUCAAUUGCUGCUACUUCUCUUUUGAGGCACCUUUCAGUUUAUGGAGGGUUUAAAUGCAAGGAUGGUCCAAACAGAAGGAGGAAAUUCGAUAUAUGCUGCCUGCCAUCUUCAGAGUUUCUUGGUCGAAAACUUGUCUGCGACAUCCGAAGAAUGAGGGAAAAUCACCUUUUUGCCGGCGACAUCAGAAUCACCUUUUUGCCGGCGACAUCAGAAGAAAGAGCAGGCGAUAUCAGAAGUUCUUUGCCGGCGACGUGAGGUGAUAAUAGUCUUUUAAUUUCUGGAGUAAAAUGAAUUGUUUUUGAUAGAUAAUAUAUGAAAAGACUAUUAUGCCCUUACAUUUCACGGUUGAGACAGAAAUUUUUAACGGAAGGACUACGGUAGGUCAAUUUUGAAACUCGGAGGAUCACGGAGGGUCGAUUUGAAAGUUUAGGACUAUAGGUCGCGAAACCACUAAACUCGGAGGACAUUGGCUGAAUUAACAUGGUCGGAUGGAUGCAAUGUUGAUGUGAAUAAAUCAACUUACCAAUAACCUCCCCACACCUAAUUGUAUAUUUCUGAGCAUUGUAUGGUGCGUUUAUGUAUACCAAUGGUACGUUUUUUGUGAUGCGUACCUAAUGGUGCA